AUAUAUAUAUACACACACACCGAGUACAGCUUAAAGAUCUCCCAUAUUUUGAGGGGGCACUGUGAGGGGGCUAUAGUGGGUGUAGAGAGGCGGGGUAGGUUUAAUUCAGUAGGUUAGGCUCUGCCAUUUUCAGUACCCAUCAUGUGUUGGACCGCUGAACAUCGGGGUCCAAUCCCCAAAGAACCCUGAAUCUUGUUUUAUUCCCUUCACUAGAUCGUGAAGAAUCUGUAUAUGCUCAUGGAUCAUUGUCCAUUUAUCCUAAAGAUUAAAGCAACACAUGCCCUUUACUGCCUCACA